CUGUAGAGUUAUACCUUUGGUGUGCGAUGGCUGCAAAGAGCAGCCUCCUUGGUAGUGUAUGGAGCCUAUUGUCUAUAUGGGUUGCCUCAAGAGACCUUGGCGACAGUU
rnacentral:snoRNA from 1 species